rnacentral:rRNA from 1 species
CAGGCCUAACACAUGCAAGUCGAACGGCAGCACGGUAGAGCUUGCUCUAUGGGUGGCGAGUGGCGGACGGGUGAGUAAGGCAUCGGGACCUACCCAGACGUGGGGGAUAACGUAGGGAAACUUACGCUAAUACCGCAUACGUCCUACGGGAGAAAGCGGGGGAUCGCAAGACCUCGCGCGAUUGGAUGGACCGAUGUGCGAUUAGCUAGUUGGUGAGGUAACGGCUCACCAAGGCGACGAUCGCUAGCUGGUCUGAGAGGAUGAUCAGCCACACUGGGACUGAGACACGGCCCAGACUCCUACGGGAGGCAGCAGUGGGGAAUAUUGGACAAUGGGCGCAAGCCUGAUCCAGCAAUGCCGCGUGUGUGAAGAAGGCCUUCGGGUUGUAAAGCACUUUUAUCAGGAGCGAAAUCUGCAGGGCUAAUACCCAUGCAGUCUGACGGUACCUGAGGAAUAAGCACCGGCUAACUCCGUGCCAGCAGCCGCGGUAAU